ACUGAUUACAAGCUUGCUUCUAUGACGUUAGCGGCGGACGGGUGAGUAACACGUGGGCAACCUGCCUGUAAGACUGGGAUAACUCCGGGAAACCGGAGCUAAUACCGGAUAACAUUUUCUCUUGCAUAAGAGAAAAUUGAAAGAUGGUUUCGGCUAUCACUUACAGAUGGGCCCGCGGUGCAUUAGCUAGUUGGUGAGGUAACGGCUCACCGGGGCAACGAUGCAUAGCCGACCUGAGAGGGUGAUCGGCCACACUGGGACUGAGACACGGCCCAGACUCCUACGGGAGGCAGCAGUAGGGAAUCUUCCGUAAUG
rnacentral:rRNA from 1 species